GAUGAAGAACGUAGCGAAAUGCGAUAAGUAAUGUGAAUUGCAGAAUUCAGUGAAUCAUCGAAUCUUUGAACGCACCUUGCGCCCUUUGGCCAUUCCGAAGGGCAUGCCUGUUUGAGUAUCAUGAACACCUCAACUCUUUAUGGUUUUCCAUGAUGAGCUUGGACUUUGGGGGUCUUGCUGGCCUAUGGUCAGCUCCUCUAAAAUAAAUCAGCUUGCCAGUGUUUGGUGGGUAUCACAGGUGUGAUAACUAUCUACGCUUGUGGUUUUCCACCAGGUAACCUUCAGCAGUGGAGGUUCGCUGGAGCUCACAGAUGUGUCUCUCCUCAGUGAGGACAGCUCUUUGAAUGUUUGAUCUCAAAUCAGGUAGGACUACCCGCUGAACUUAAGCAUAUCAAUAAGCGGAGGA
rnacentral:misc_RNA from 1 species